GCCAGGUUGGCUGAGUCAUUUAAGCGUCCGACUUCGGCUCAGGUCACGCUCUCACGGUUUGUGGGUUCGGGUCCCGCAUCGGGCU
rnacentral:tRNA from 1 species